rnacentral:tRNA from 1 species
UCAUAGUAAUAUAAGAAGUAUCAGUGCUUUUUCAAGGCACAUGUGGUUUAAUAACCCUAUGAU